rnacentral:rRNA from 1 species
GCGAACGCUGGCGGCAGGCUUAACACAUGCAAGUCGAACGGGCACCUUUCGGGGUGUCAGUGGCAGACGGGUGAGUAACACGUGGGAACGUACCCUUCGGUUCGGAAUAACUCAGGGAAACUUGAGCUAAUACCGGAUACGCCCUUACGGGGAAAGGUUUACUGCCGAAGGAUCGGCCCGCGUCUGAUUAGCUAGUUGGUGGGGUAAUGGCCUACCAAGGCGACGAUCAGUAGCUGGUCUGAGAGGAUGAUCAGCCACACUGGGACUGAGACACGGCCCAGACUCCUACGGGAGGCAGCAGUGGGGAAUAUUGGACAAUGGGCGAAAGCCUGAUCCAGCCAUGCCGCGUGAGUGAUGAAGGCCUUAGGGUUGUAAAGCUCUUUCGACGGGGACGAUAAUGACGGUACCCGUAGAAGAAGCCCCGGCUAACUUCGU